rnacentral:tRNA from 1 species
UCUCUGGUAGUUUAAUAAGAAUGUGGCGGUGAAGUUGCCAAGGUGGCCUUUUUGUGGUUCUGGGGAU